CCGAGGCCGGAAAGGGCCAAUGGUGAGCACACGUCACUCACUUUUACCCCAAAUGAUUAUUAUUGCGGACUAUCAAAACUGUUUUUGGUCGACGAAACAACACUACCGUCUGCUCUUUUUCCACACUUCCGCAGACACAUGUCGACGGUAGUGUCACAGCUUCCGUUACGGCUGGUUAUAACGGAGUAAAGUGUCUUCUUUCGGGUGCUCAGCAUCAGUGAAAAUGGCUGUGGCUGGCGAGGGGAGAACAGCACGCAGACAGGGACUCGGCGGAGGACGGUGAGCAGCCGGACGGAGAAGGCGUGACGGGCCUCAUCCAUCUCGAUGCGGUCACGUAUUUCCAUUAAAAUGAGAGGCAAUCCAAUAGGUGAUAACACAUCCCCCUCCUCGGCCAGGGGACUCCUCUUCCACACUGUGCCGUUACUUUGGAUUAAGGGACACGGUAAGGAUAUAAAAGGUGAGCAAAUUGCGUUGUUUAUAAGGCAAUCUACACUAGGAACCAAUAAUUGUAUCUUAAUGCAUCAUCAAUUGGAAGUUUUAAGGGUUAUUGUCUUAAACGUAUUAGGAAUUGUGUCGUAUGUUUUCAUUAGGGAUUUCAGUGGUCAGGUUUUUUUGUUACGUUGGUUUAUAACAUGAUGUUAAUAGGCUAUGAUAUUUAUAUUUUUGAUCCGAUUUGGUGUGGUGCUGCUCAUACGAAAUUGAAUUGAACAUUGUUAAUUUGACUCCCCACUAAUGACAGCCUAUUCAUUUAAAACUUGAAUUCAAACCAAUAUAAUCCAAAAAUCAUGUUUUCUUUGUAUCACUAUCUUGUAUUUUAUUAGUAAUGACAUUUGUAUUACAACUUUAUUCUAAUCCCCAAGCAGAAACAUUUCUGAACAUAUGGGGAAAGUAAACAAACUCACUGUUUUUCACAUUUCAUGAUUAAUAAAAACAAAAAAAUAAUAAAUGUCUGUAACUUGAGGAUGAAAAGUUUGUUUGAGUUUUUUUGCUUUUUUUUAAAAAUGUAUUUGUAUUGUUGAUGAAACACCCAUAAUGCAGAUUGUUUUAAAAUCUUAAUUUCUGCAAUGACAGAAAACGUAAAAAUGGUUUUAUUACGGUGAAAAUAAGGAACGUUUUGACUUUGUAAACACGUUAUCCAUAAGCACAUUUUGGCCUACAUUGGUGAACAUUCACUCCUAUCCCCUAAUUAUAUUCAGAGAAAGAAUAAACAAAGAAUAAUUCGCUAAACAGUGACAUUUCUCCAUAUUAUUAACAUUCUAAAUCUCCUUGCAAUAAGUAUUCUCUCUCUCUCUUUCUCUCUGUCUCUGUCUCUUUCUCUCUGGCUCUCUGCAUAAUCGCUUAAGAUGAAAAAAAACAGUGUUGUUUCUUAUGUUGUUAUGUUUGCAUACUAUCUGUAAAUGGUGGACCACACCAUUGCCAUUAUUAACUGCAUAAAAAGGAAAGAUAGGUAACACAUGGUUAAUAAUACAAAAUGACAACAGCAAACAAUCGAUUAUGAUGAUUUUGAAUGAAAUAAUCAAAUGGAUAUUGGUUGAAUGAUAACAAUAAAGGAACAGUUUGAAUUAUAAAAUAAAACUUUAGACGGAAAAUAUUUGAUAUGCCAUUUGGUGGAUGAUUCUUUCUAAAGCGUAUCGCAAUACCAAAAGUGCCUAGCAUGCCUCGAACCCAUCACCCUGUCGAUGUCAAUCAAACUUGAUACAGUUUGUUAUAACAAGUUGCAUAGUGGAAAAGUGAAUCACAACAAAAACAGACGAAAUUCAGUGUUUUGUGAAUAACAGCACUGCUUGUUAUUGCUUGUUAUGCUGUUAUUAUGAAAUGAUUCUGUUGGACGGCUUAUUCUUUCAAUUUGUCUUUAGCAAUGUGUAAUUACGAUUAAA
ensembl:lncRNA